CUUUUCUUCUUUUCUCUUCUCUUCUCUUUUUUUUUCUCUCUCUCUUUCAUUCACAUUAUAGCUUGAGUCAGAACUUCAUUCCUUUUUAAGGCUGAAGGACCACAUUUUGCUUGUUUGUUCAUGUGAUCGAUGAUGAUGGACACUUAGGUUGUUUCCACUUUUUAGCUAUCGUAAACACUGUUGCUAAUGGAAUAUGGGUGUACAAAUAUUUCUUCAAGAUCUUGCUUUCAAUUCUUUUGGGUAUAUACCCAGAAGUGGAACUGCUGCAUCAUAUGGAAUCCAUUCCCAGGGAAAUUCUCACCACAUAGCACAUGAACACAGGUGCCAGGAUGCAGCUGCACCUUCCUUUGUGGAGCAAAAACUUGGAAAUAUCCUUAAAAGUGAUUAAGUAAAUCAGAGUAUGAACUGUGCUCUGGAGUGCAAGACCGCGGACUAUGGCUUUCUGGAUUCUCUGGUGACACCUGCUGGCACAAAGGGAUACUGCAGCCCAGCUUGGAAGAGGAAAUGUGGACACAGACACAAACAGAGGGAGGGCCAUGUGAGCCCAGAGCAAGAAGGCGGCCAUCUACAAGCCCCGGAGCGAGGCUGCGGGAGAAGCCAGCCCCGCUCACACCUU
rnacentral:lncRNA from 1 species